UACGAAGGGGGCUAGCGUUGUUCGGAAUUACUGGGCGUAAAGCGCACGUAGGCGGAUAUUUAAGUCAGGGGUGAAAUCCCAGAGCUCAACUCUGGAACUGCCUUUGAUACUGGGUAUCUUGAGUAUGGAAGAGGUAAGUGGAAUUGCGAGUGUAGAGGUGAAAUUCGUAGAUAUUCGCAAGAACACCAGUGGCGAAGGCGGCUUACUGGUCCGGUUCUGGAACGCUGAGGCGCGAAAGCGUGGGGAGCAAACAGG
rnacentral:rRNA from 1 species